rnacentral:rRNA from 1 species
AACGAACGCUGGCGGCGUGCUUAACACAUGCAAGUCGAACGCGAAAGGGACUUCGGUCCUGAGUAGAGUGGCGCACGGGUGAGUAACGCGUAAGUGAUCUACCCCUGUAUUUGGGAUGACUAUGGGAAACUGUAGCUAAUACCGGAUACGUUCAUGUAGUUGCGAUUAUGUGAAGAAAGAUGGCCUCUGAUUCAAGCUAUUGUACAGGGAGGAGCUUGGGUACCAUUAGCUAGUUGGUAGGGUAAUGGCCUACCAAGGCAACGAUGGUUAGCGGGUCUGAGAGGAUGAUCCGCCACACUGGAACUGAAACACGGACCAGACUCCUACGGGAGGCAGCAGUGAGGAAUAUUGCGCAAUGGGGGCAACCCUGACGCAGCGACGCCGCGUGGAUGAUGAAGGCCUUCGGGUCGUAAAAUCCUGUCAGAUGGGAAGAAGUGCGAGGUGGUUAAUACCCAUUUUGUUUGACGGUACCAUCAGAGGAAGCACCGGCUAACUCCGUGCCAGCAGCCGCUGUAACAC